GUCUUUGUUGGCAAACAGUUCUGGGGGUCGUCCGAUCCUGCAGGUUCCCAGGAAACGAUGCCAGCGCUUUGAGUAGCGAAGAGGUGGAGAAAUAGCCCGGGCCGUUUGCAAGCUUUGAAGGUCCAGGCUCUCUUUCACACUCCUCAGUGUCAUCUCAAACUGUCAAACGCAGCCACAUCCGUUAUACAAUACAUGUUUUGUAGUAAAAGUGUUUUGUUGUGCCGUAAGAUACAGAAAGUGUUUUUAAAAAUUAACUUGGCUCUUGCAA
ensembl:lncRNA EDRF1-DT EDRF1 divergent transcript